GACGAACGCUGGCGGCGUGCUUAACACAUGCAAGUCGAACGGAAAGGCCCUGCUUUUGUGGGGUGCUCGAGUGGCGAACGGGUGAGUAACACGUGAGUAACCUGCCCUUGACUUUGGGAUAACUUCAGGAAACUGGGGCUAAUACCGGAUAGGAGCUCCUGCUGCAUGGUGGGGGUUGGAAAGUUUCGGCGGUUGGGGAUGGACUCGCGGCUUAUCAGCUUGUUGGUGGGGUAGUGGCUUACCAAGGCUUUGACGGGUAGCCGGCCUGAGAGGGCGACCGGCCACAUUGGGACUGAGAUACGGCCCAGACUACUACGGGAGGCAGCAGUGGGGAAUAUUGCACAAUGGGCGGAAGCCUGAUGCAGCAACGCCGCGUGCGGGAUGACGGCCUUCGGGUUGUAAACCGCUUUCGCCUGUGACGAAGCGUGAGUGACGGUAAUGGGUAAAGAAGCACCGGCUAACUACGUG
rnacentral:rRNA from 1 species